GUGUCAGUAAUGUCAUGGAUGAAGGAAGCGCAUAGCAAAGUUCUUGAGCCUACGUAUAGAAACUUGAUAAGGCAAUGAGGUGGGUAAGGUUGCUAGACAAACUGAAGCCCUAAGGGUAAAUAAGAAAUCCUCUGACAGAGCAACGACGCAAAGGAAAAUGAAGACAGAAAAAUAU
rfam:Clostridiales bacterium 41_21_two_genomes Ley3_66761_scaffold_1469, whole genome shotgun sequence.